rnacentral:piRNA from 1 species
UGUGUGUGAGUUUUAAUUUCUACCACUAAAGU